rnacentral:rRNA from 1 species
AUGGCCAAGGAGAAGAUGGCGGCGCUGGAGCGUGCAAAGAAGGCGUCGGCGUCGGAGAAGGCGAAGGGGAGAUCCACCAGCCGCGGAGGGUCCUCGUCCAGAUCCCGCCUGCCGAAGGGCUGGGUCCAAGGAGACUGGAUCCAGUCGACCAUCACGGAGAAUGACCUCCUCGACAUGGCCAACGAGGGCUUGAUCCCCCACGGAGCUGCGAGGCUUCCGGGGAAGGAGUGGCAGCCCCAGCCAGAAGAGGGUGAGUGUGUGCUCUUGGCCACUCAUGUUGAUCGUGGGUUUUCCUUGCCGCCGAGUGUUUUCUUUCGUGGCUUCUUGAACUUCUUCGGAGCGCAGCUCCACCACUUUACCCCAAACUCCAUUGCCUAUCUUGCUGCGUUCGUGUCCAUGUGUGAGGGUUUCUUGGGCUGUCGACCACACUGGGGUUUGUUCAAACAUAUAUUCACGUGUCGAUCUCAGACCGUGAAGAAGGCGAGCCCGGGUGAUGAGAGAACCCGAGUCGUCCAAAUGUGCGGGGGCCUGGGGAUUCAGGUGAGGAAUAAGAGCACCUUCCCGCCCAUGACCUUUCCCGAGUCCGUCAGAGGCUGGCAGUCGACUUGGUUCUACUGCCAGGUCCAGUCGACGCCAGGGUAG